rnacentral:rRNA from 1 species
CUGCGGCUGCUCUAGUGCGAGUCGAACGGGCGUAGCAAUACGUCAGUGGCAGACGGGUGAGUAACGCGUGGGAACGUACCUUUUGGUUCGGAACAACUGAGGGAAACUUCACCUAAUAGCGGAUAAGCCCUUACGGGGAAAGAUUUAUCGCCGAAAGAUCGGCCCGCGUCUGAUUAGCUAGUUGGUGAGGUAAUGGCUCACCAAGGCGACGAUCAGUAGCUGGUCUGAGAGGAUGAUCAGCCACAUUGGGACUGAGACACGGCCCAAACUCCUACGGGAGGCAGCAGUGGGGAAUAUUGGACAAUGGGGGCAACCCUGAUCCAGCCAUGCCGCGUGAGUGAUGAAGGCCCUAGGGUUGUAAAGCUCUUUUGUGCGGGAAGAUAAUGACGGUACCGCAAGAAUAAGCCCCGGCUAACUUCGUGCCAGCAGCCGCGGUAAUACGAAGGGGGCUAGCGUUGCUCGGAAUCACUGGGCGUAAAGGGUGCGUAGGCGGGUUUCUAAGUCAGAGGUGAAAGCCUGGAGCUCAACUCCAGAACUGCCUUUGAUACUGGAAGUCUUGAGUAUGGCAGAGGUGAGUGGAACUGCGAGUGUAGAGGUGAAAUUCGUAGAUAUUCGCAAGAACACCAGUGGCGAAGGCGGCUCACUGGGCCAUUACUGACGCUGAGGCACGAAAGCGUGGGAGCAAACAGGAUUAGAUACCCUGGUAGUCCACGCCGUAAACGAUGAAUGCCAGCCGUUAGUGGGUUUACUCACUAGUGGCGCAGCUAACGCUUUAAGCAUUCCGCCUGGGGAGUACGGUCGCAGAUUAAACUCAAAGGAA